rnacentral:rRNA from 1 species
GGGGAAUAUUGCGCAAUGGGGGCAACCCUGACGCAGCAAUACCGCGUGAGUGAAGAAGGUUUUCGGAUCGUAAAGCUCUGUUAUUGGGGAAGAAGAAUGACGGUACCCAAUGAGGAAGUCCCGGCUAACUACGUGCCAGCAGCCGCGGUAAUACGUAGGGGACAAGCGUUGUCCGGAAUGACUGGGCGUAAAGGGCGCGUAGGCGGUCUGAUAAGUCAGAUGUGAAAGGUACCGGCUCAACCGGUGACGUGCAUUUGAAACUGUCAGACUUGAGUAUUGGAGAGGCAAGUGGAAUUCCUAGUGUAGCGGUGAAAUGCGUAGAUAUUAGGAGGAACACCAGUGGCGAAGGCGGCUUGCUGGACAAAUACUGACGCUGAGGUGCGAAAGCGUGGGGAGCGAAC